AUUGAACGCUGGCGGCAGGCCUAACACAUGCAAGUCGAACGAGUGGCGGACGGGUGAGUAAUGUCUGGGAAACUGCCUGAUGGAGGGGGAUAACUACUGGAAACGGUAGCUAAUACCGCAUACCAUCGGAUGUGCCCAGAUGGGAUUAGCUAGUAGGUGGGGUAAAGGCUUACCAAGGCGACGAUCCCUAGCUGGUCGGAGAGGAUGCACAGCCACGCUGGAACUGAGACACGGUCCAGACUCCUACGGGAGGCAGCAGUGGGGAAUAGUGCACAAUGGGCGCAAGCCUGAUGCAGCCAUGCCGCGUGUAUGAAGAAGGCCUUCGGGUUGUAAAGUACUUUCAGCGGGGAGGCGUUACUCGCAGAAGAAGCACCGGCUAACUCCGUGCCAGCAGCCGCGGUAAUUC
rnacentral:rRNA from 1 species